rnacentral:rRNA from 1 species
UGGCGAACGGGUGAGUAACACGUGACCAACCUGCCUCUUACAUUGGGACAACCAAAAGAAAUUCUGGCUAAUACCAAAUACUCCGCACAUAUCACAUGAUGUAUGCGGGAAAGCUUUUGCGGUAAGAGAUGGGGUCGCGGCCCAUUAGGUAGACGGCGGGGUAGAAGCCCACCGUGCCGAUGAUGGGUAGCCGGGUUGAGAGACCGACCGGCCACAUUGGGACUGAGAUACGGCCCAGACUCCUACGGGAGGCAGCAGCC